CCUACGGGAGGCAGCAGUGGGGAAUCUUGCGCAAUGGGCGAAGGCCUGACGCAGCGACGCCGCGUGCGGGAAGAAGGCCUUCGGGUUGUAAACCGCUUUCAGGAGGGACGAAGCCACUCGGGUUAAUAGCCCGGAGGGUGACGGUACCUCCAGAAGAAGCCUCGGCUAACUACGUGCCAGCAGCCGCGGUAAU
rnacentral:rRNA from 1 species